AUUUUUCAUCUAUUUGUUGUGUAUGCAUUUUGAUUGAAUUUGUAGGAAAACGGAGUAAAUUUUAUCUUGGAAGUUUUAUCUUCCUUAUUUGGAUAUGCAAUGUUUUAUUCUAAAUUUAGAUCCGCGCGCGAGAUGGUGUUGUGAAGUCAUGUGACCCUCGAAUAUAUAUGUCUGGAGUUAGAAUAUUAAUUUCUUUUCAGGGGAGACUGUUGAACAGAGCACAUGUGUAUUGAUCAAAGAAACACGAUAACUAUUGUUUUUAUUUUGUACAGGUCAUUGAUGUCGGAUCAUGCAUACAUAUUAUGUACACAUGUUUACGGGAGCACAGAUUUGUAUUUUAAUGCAUGUUUAGAAAUUUGAUUGUAGGAUUUCAGUAAUACAUUGAUUUUAAUUUCGCAAUCAAGCGGACCGCACGUGUCUCAUCGAUUAAUUUCAGAAAAUACAUGAAUUGGAGCAGAUUUUUGCAGGGAUGGAUUUCUAUUUCAGAAAGAAAUUUGUACAUAAGAAGGAUUAGUAUUUUACAGUAUAAUGUAUGGGACUAAAAGCGAUCUUCUUUUCUUUGAAAUGGGAUAACUUAAAAAAAAAAUCAGUUGAAAAAAAAAGGGGGGGGGGGGUGGAGUCUAGUGGUAGACUGUGGUUCAUUAUUGAGAUAAGAAACAUUUACAACAUGAUAGCUGCAAAGUUUGAAGUUUUGAUAAGUAAUUUGUUGAUUCGACCAUAACAGGGACAUUGACCCUGCAAUAAAAUGAUGCGUACCAUUUCGACAAAAAAUUUCUAGUAAACACGUGUCGCGACAAACUUUUUGGUUAAAUUGUUUUGUCGAUAUCUAUAACUCUUUCUAGGAAGAAGCGAUAUGAACUUAAUGUAAAAAAUCACAACAUGACCUUGACCUUUGACCUUGACCUAGUUUUCUAUUCUUUAGGACCAAGGACCUCAAAUCAACAGACCCUCGGUCUCUAUCACUUAUGGUUUACCAGUUACAAAUGCAUAUCACUUAUUUCAAAUGCAUUAGGGGAAAUAACUCUCAUAUGGAGUCUUCGUAUCGCUUCCGUCAAAUUUGGACAAAAAAUCCUGAGGAUAGCGAGCCAUUUGGUAAAAUAAAUUUGUCCCUUUCUUUUACGGUUACGGAGGAGAUGCAGUCACAAGGAAAACAGUGUUCAGGGAGAUAACUCCUACAAAGAAAAUUGUUCGGCUUAGAAUGGGUGAAAAUAAAAAGCGCAUAAACUGUAUGAUACUAUAUAAGAAAUAUCUAAGCGUCAUCUUGCGAAACAAAAAUUUUACGCAAGAACAAAAUUAGGCGGAAGAAAAAAAAAAUAAUAAUAAUAAUAAUUAAAAACCAAUUGUUCAAAGAACAAUUGAAGGUCUUUCCACAUCAAUUUUCUAAAUAAUUGAUGAGAAGCUAAUUCUGGUUUACUCAAAGCUACUAUUGGCGUCCAAUCAUAGGUUUCUUCAUACUGAUUCAAUAAACAUAUGGUUUCUAUAGACUUUUGCCUGAAAUAAGGGAGAUAAUUGUCAACUUCCGGUUUAGAAAAUAACACUUCCGGUCUCAUAUGAUAGGUUUAAUUACACUGAUUCCAAAAAUAUAUGGUUUAUAUAUACUUUUGCCUGUAAAAAGGAAGAUAAUUGGCUAAUUCUGGUUUGGAAAAUGUCACUUCCGGUCUCAUAUGAUAUAUUUAUUUACACUGAUUCCAAAAAUAUAUGGUUUAUAUAUACUUUUGCCUGUAAAAAGGGAGAUAAUUGGCUACUUCCGGUUUAGAAAAUGUCACUUUCGGUCUCAUUUGAUAGCUUUAUUUACACUGAUUCCAAAAAUAUAUGGUUUAUAUAUACUUAUGCCUAUAACAAGGGAGAUAAUAUGCUACUUCCGGUUUAUAAAAUAUCACUUCCGGUCUCAAAUGAUAGAUUAAUGUAUGACCAUUCAAAAAAUAUAUGGUUUCUAUGUACUUCUACAUGAAAUAAGUGCAAAAAUGACUACUCCCGGUUCACUCAAGGUCACUUCCGAUUGACAUUUUUCAAGGUCAUAUGUCACCCAACAUUUUGCAAAAGAUCUUAUGGCUUUAUCAUGUACCAAUAUGAAGUAAUAAUCAAUUUACCUUAAAAUAAAACAUUUCAGGGGCAAUAACUCCAAUAAGAUGUCGCUGGAUUGUCUCAGACCAAAUGUAUUAUAUCUUCAUCACAAUAUAACAAACAUUUUGCACUUGUUCUUUAAUAUAUAACAUUAAAAAUAUCGGAGAAAAUGCAAAAACAAGCAAAAGACAAAAUUCAGAACAUGACCUUGACCUUUGACCUUGACCUCAUUUUCGAAGUUAGGAUCCAAGGACCUUAAAUAAAAAGACUAUAGGUUUAUACGGCUUACAGUUUAUGAGUAACAAAAACAUAACGACAAAUUUAUUUGAUAAAGGUAGAUAACUCCUAUAAAAUUUCAUCGAAUUGCUUUGAUCCAAAUUAGCCAAAAAUUCCUGAGGAUGUAACGAACAAUUUAGAAAAAGAAUUUUGUCGAUAUCUUUUUUUGUUACGAAGGAGAUGCACACACUUGAUAAACAGUGAAUAGGGAGAUAACUCUUACAAAGAUAAUUGUUCGGCUUAGCAGGGUAAAAUUUAAAAGCGCAUAAACUAUACGAUACAAUAUGAGAAAUAUCUAAGCGACAUAUUGCGAAACAAAUAUUUAUCGCAAGAACAAAAUUUGGCGGAAGAAAAAAAAAAAAAUAAUAAUAAUAAUAAUAAUAAUAAUAAUCAGAACAAAUACAAAAGGUCUUUCCACAGAAAAGUGGAAAGACCUAAUAAAUGGAGAGAAGAGGAAAGAAAAGAGGUGGGUGUUUGCCAGUGAGACAUUUUAUGAUAUAUAUGGUAAAUUAGAAUGGUUAAAAGUGCACAUUUACAAUAUAAAUCAAUUGUUUUAAAAACAAUUGUUAAACGGUCUUUCCCCUCCGAAACAUGAUUGGUUGGUUGGUUGGUUGGUUGGUUGGUCGAUUGAUUGAUUGAUUGAUUGAUUGAUUGAUUGAUUGAUUGAUUGAUUGAAAGUUUGCAUGACACUCUCUCUAUGCGAGGCAUCGGACUUGACGUUCAUAUUCUGACGAGGCUGCGUACUUGUAUAUCCCGCACUCCCAAACGGACAGCUUCAGGAUUUCCUAAUAAAUAAAAAUCCUAACAUCUUCUUUUUUUUCUUAUUUUCUCUAUUUGCUACGAGAACUGAUACUUCAUGGUUUCUUUUAUGUGUUGUGUGUACAUUUUGUUUCAACUUGUAGGAAGAAAAAAAAUGAGUAACAUUUUGUCUUGGAAGUUUCACUUUCCAUAUUUGGAUAUGGAUCUCGAAUGUUUUAUUCUAAUUUUAGGUCCGCGCGCGUGAUGAUGUUUUGAAGUCACGUGACGCUCGAAUAUAUAUGUCUGGAGUUAGAAUAUUAAUUUCUUUUCAGGGGAGACCGUUGAACAGAGCACAUGUGUACUGAUCGGACAAACAUGACCACUAUUGGUUUUAUUAUUUACAGGUCAUUGAUGACGGAUCAUGCAUGCAUCUUACGUUCACAUGUUUACGGGAGCACAGUUUUGUAUUUUAAUGCAUGAUUAAAAAAUUUGAUUGUAGGAUUUCAGCAAUAUUUACGAUUUUUCUACGUCAUUGAAUUUUAUUUCUCAAACAAGCGGACCGCGUCUAACGGGAACAUGAAUUGGAGCCGAUUUUUUGCAGGAAUGACUUUCUAUUUAAGAAGUUUGUACAUCAGAAGGAUUGCAUUUUUACAGUAAAAUGUACAGGACUGAACUUCAAGGCGAAAUGGGAUUCUUCAAAGUAGAAGAAAAAAAAAAUUUGGGGGGGG